rnacentral:rRNA from 1 species
AACGAACGCUGAUGGCGUGCCUCAUACAUGCAAGUCGAGCGCCCCGCAAGGGGAGCGGCGAACGGGUGAGUAACGCGUGAACAAUCUGCCUCAAAGUGGGGGAUAACCAUUCCAACGGAUGGCUAAUACCGCAUAGGGUUUGGAAGCGGCAUCGCUUCUUUACGAAAGCAUUCAUGCGCUUUGAGAUGAGUUCGCGUCCCAUUAGCUAGUUGGCGGGGUAACGGCCCACCAAGGCAACGAUGGGUAGCCGGCCUGAGAGGGUGUCCGGCCACAUUGGGACUGAGAUACGGCCCAGACUCCUACGGGAGGCAGCAGUAGGGAAUUUUGCGCAAUGGGGGAAACCCUGACGCAGCAACGCCAUGUGUGGGACGACGGCCUUCGGGUUGUAAACCUCUUUUAGCAGGGAGGAAGCGAGAGUGACGGUACCUGCAGAAAAAGCACCGGCUAACUACGUGCCAGCAGCCGCCGUAA